CCUGAAAAAUGGGCCAUGUGCACUUCUAUGAAUCAUGCUUCCAUUGAUUGUUGGAAAGCUCCAGAAAAGGCAGGGCCCCAUCAAAGAGACUGACCCCCCUUGAAUGCACGUUGGAACAGUUGUGUGCGAUGUCCAACAGCCUGGGGGACAGGAAGGAGUUAAAUCCUGGUGGCAGCAGAGGGCAGGAGCUGGAGGGGCCUGUCCCUUCCCGCGCUGGCGGAACCGGGUCAUGAGAGCGGGCAGGAACUUGCACUUGGCUUUCCUGGGCAGGCAAAUAUCAUGCACGUUGCACUGUUCCUGUGGGCAGCUAAUCAUUGCACUGGCCUUGAGCUGUAUAUCGUUGUGAUUGCAGCCUUGGCUCCUCCCUCUAUGUCACUGCCAAUGGGCUGGGAAAUGUGAACACCAUUCUGGCCCAUUAAAGGGGGGCAGUGGGUGCCUCUGUCACCUGAGGCCCCCAGGUGAGCCAUUUGGCUGCCUGGCUCCUGCCUGGGGCAGUUGUUUAAUUUGCUUAAAGGCUCCCCUUCAGAUGCCCUUUGGUAAGCUGAGAAGGGAUGCAGUAUCAGUUUUCCAGUUCUGCUGUCACAAAGUGUCACAAACUGGGUGGCACAUCAGAAAGGUAUUCUCUCACUGUCCCGGAGGCCAGAAGUUCAAAAGCAAGGUGUCCACAGGGCUGUGAUCCUUCCAAAGGCUGUCAGGGGGAGUCCUUUGCUGCGUCCAGCCUCUGAGGGUCACCAACAAUGUCUGGGGCUGUUUGCAUCAGUAGCAACAUAAAAUACAAUAUUUGCCUGGUAUUCUUUACACAGUAUUAUUUCUUUCUUCGGUGUGUGCAUGUGCAGGUGCGCGCGUAUGUGCGUUGCGUGCGUGCGUGUGUGUGUGUGUGUGUGUGUGUGUAUCUUCAAACUUUCCUCUCUUCUCUUAUAAAGACAUCAAUCCAUGGAUAUCGGUCCCAUUCUAAUCCAGGAUAAUGUCAUUUAAAUUUUUUUUAAAUUUUUUUUGCAGUAAGACAUGUCACAUAAGAUCUACUCUCUUAACACAUUUUUAUACAUAAACUACAUCAUUGGGAACCACAGGUAUAGGGUGCUACAGAUCUCUACGGUUUAUUCAUCUUGCUAAACUACCUUACUUUAAUGUUUUUUUCUUUUUGGCUUUUUAUAGCCGCUCCUGCAGCAUAUGGAAGUUUCCAGGCUAGGGGUCACACUGGAGCUGCAGCUGCUGGGCUACACCACAGCCAUGGCAACGUGGGUCCGAGCUACGUCUGCAACCUACACCAUAGCUCAUGGAAUGCUGGAGCCUUACUCCACUGAGCAAGGCCAGGGAUCAAACCCGCAUCUUCGUGGAUGCGAGUCCGGUUCGUUACUGCUGAGCCACAAUGGGUUUGAGGAUUAAGUGGACUCUCGAGCUGUUUGGGUUCAAAUCUUGGCUGGACCCCUCACUAGCAGGUCACCUAUGCUCUCAAAGCCUUCGUUUCCUCAGUUUUGGAAAAGGGCCUGAUGCUAGCACCUCCCUCCUAGGGCCGUCAGGAAGGUUACGUGGCAUCAUGCAAGACGCAAGCAUCCUGCCCCACACACAGACAGUGCCUGGCGAGCAUGAGGUGCGACACAGCCUUAGGAUCAUCACCAGCCCUGCGACCCCACCUCGAAGGCCGCUUCCAAACACCAGGACCCUCAUCUAGGGCAACAGAGAGCACGUACUCCCUGUUUCAUGUGAUGUUCGCGCUGCCUGGAAAUCAGGGCUCUGCCCCCACCUUCAUUCCCCCUCCUUGUGUGAAAGGCUGGCUCCUUCCCAGCCUUGGGACCUUGUCUUCACUGACAUCUACUCCCUAAGACCUUUUUGGCCCCUCAGGGACUUUCCAAGUCACUUGUCCAGCUGCUGCUCCGCCCUCCCUUCCACAACUAUCUGUGAUGCUGGUACCCGACUCUGGCUACAGGUGCCGCUGGACCCAUCAAAGGGGCAGCUGGGUCGCCUAAUACAAUGCAGGAGGGCAGUUCAAUUUGGAAUGUCAGCUACUUUUGAAUUUUAGUAUAAGCAUGCCACAAAUACUGCAAAUAUUGUGCUGGGAUGCUGGCCAGCACAGCUCAGAGGUAAACGCCGUGAGAGCAGUUCUCAACCACUGACAGAUGGGGAACUGGUAGGGAAGGACCCCAGUUUCCUGGCCCUGCCUAGGGGAUGACUCAGAGGCAACGUCUUCUGCACCGAUUCCCAGAAUUCCCUGGGUGGAUCCUGGACCACUUCUCUGCUGCAGCAUCCUUUAAUUAAGGCACCCAGUGUUGGCUCACUCCCCUUUCCAGUCUCCUCUUCUCACCUCCUUGGGAAAACACAACCCAAGACUCCCGCCCCAGCCUUCUAUUAUGAACCGAAUGUCUUCAUCCCUCCCAAAUUCAUACCUUGAAAUCCUCACCCUCCCCUCCAUGGGAUGCUAUUAGGAAGUGGGGCCUUUGGGAGGUGAUGAGAUCAUAAGGGCAGAGGCCUCGUGAAUGGAAUUGGUGUGCUUAAAUAAGGACUGCAGAGAGCUCUCCUGGCCUCUUUCUACAUGUGAUGACAUAAGAAGUAGGCUGUCUGCAACCUGGAAGAGGGCUCCCACCAGAACCUGACCACACUGGCAGCCGGAUCUCAGACUUCAGGCUCCUGAACUAUGAGAAGUAAGAAUAUGUUGCCUAUAAGCUUCCUGGUCUGUGGUACUUUUUAGAGCAACCCAAUUAAGACACCUCCCACCACUGUCCUCCACGCAGCCCUUGUUUAUUCAAGAGCUAUCAUCACAACUUGUUCUCGUGCACACACACACACCUACACACACACACACACACACACACACACCUACACACACCCCUGUUCGUCUCUUUGCUCAGUCUCUGCCCCACUAUGAUGUGAGUGCUGCUACCCUGACGGGGUCAUUUACUGCGGCACUCCAGCACUGAGCUCUGGGCUGGCCCUUAACACAAACUUUCUAGAUAAUGAAGGCACAAGAAAUGAACAAGAAAGAGGCUUUCUGUGCCAGCAGAGAGCAAGAUGGUUUUCAGCUCUGCAGAGCUGCAAUGAACAGAGGCCAGACAGCAGAGACCUGCCCUGGGACCUCCCCUUUGUCACCAUUCCAAUUUGACCUUGGAGAGCUGCCCGAGCCCUCUCACCUCAGUCUCCUCAUCUGUAAAACGAGGAGUUGGGACGAGAUAACCUCUCCUCUCCUGUGUCUUCCGUCUCUCAAAUCUUAUGACUCAAUAUUCUAGGUAGUAAACUUUACAGCUAUGAAUAAAUUAAUGGAAAUGAAUAUUGAAAUGAUGUGCAAACAUUUGGGCGAGUGCUUUCCUAGUCUUUUAUGAAGUGGGAGAGUAAGAAAUAAAACCGAGAUACAAGCCAUCAGCAACAUUUGUGUUGGUGGAAAUGCAGGGCCUUCCCCCUGUGUUCUGGGAAGGCGAGGUAAAUGCAUUCAAUAAAAAACCCACAGUGGGGAGUUCCCACUGUGGUGCCGUGGGGUGGGAACCUGACUGGAGUGGCUUGGGCCACUGCAGAGGCACAGGUUUGAUCCCUGGCCUGAAGCAGUGGGUUAAAGGAUCUGGCGCUGCUGCAGCUGCACAGUAGGUUGCAGCUGCAGCUUGGAUUCAGUGACUGGAAGAUGAAUUUCCAUAUACCACAAGUACAGCCAAACAAACAAAAGCUCAGUGAGAAAGGGGUCAAAAGAAAACCGGGCAUCUGGGAAGUUGGAAGCCCCCAAAGGGAGAGAUGUUCCACAUUUGGAUAUUCUUGGAAAUGAUCCUCAGAUCCAGAGAAGCAGGAAAGGAAACUGGACCAAAUAUGCUCUCCAGCUCUCUUGGUUCUUUAGAGCCAAAUGCCAGAGAUUGGGUGGCUUAUCAACACAGAACUUUAUUUCUCACAGUUGUGGAGAUGGGGCUGCCAGCCUGGUCAGGUGAGGGCUUUCUGGGUGGCAGACCUCACCUUGUGUCCAAAGAUGAUGGAAGGGACAAGGAGCUCUCUUGGAUCUUUUUAUAAGGGCACUAAUCUCAUGUGUGAGGGCUCCACCCUCAU
rnacentral:lncRNA from 1 species